GUCUCCACGGCACACUGCAACUGUGAGCUUCAGUGACUGCUUCUGCAAUGCAUCCUGGCCUCCUUCAGAGCAGAAAAGCUGCUGCAGGAAAAGUACUAAAAUGAAAAAGAAUGGCAUAUGUGAUGAGCAGUAACCUGACUGUCCCCAUACAGCACUCAGAAACAAGGGUCUUCCCCUAAAAAGACAUCUCUGCUGAGCUCUUGGAAGAGUGCAAGCCCCUGGGAAUGAGCAAACUACAUCUUCCUCAAUUUGAUUGACUGGGAAGAGUCACUGCUGAUAAAGGUAUAGAGCUGGAACUGGGUUGUAAAGCCAAACUAACAAGCUCUACAGUAUAUGGGGAAUGUUCCACAGCCAAGCAGAGAGGGCAGCUUUGAUCACUGGAGGUCAUAAAUCUGGAUCUUACCUCUUCGUUUAAAGAAGCAUGUGUGGAUAUUUUGUAUUCCAAUUCUACUGAUUAAUUAAUUUGAUUAUGAGGUCUAUCUUGUGCACCACUUUGGCCUGAUGAUGAAUAGGGAGAGCAAUAAUCACCGUAAGAAUGAAGGAAUUUACUGUCUGAACUACCUUAUAUGUAAGGACAGAGGAGAUUUAGUCAGUUCACCAACUCAUGCAAACAAGGAGAACAUAAAGGAAGCAGAUCUGGCUCCCAUCCACCUCCACCUCCUUUUUAAGGUUCUCAAGAUUGUAAACAGUUCGUGCUGAAACGAAUGGGAACCAGACCUAAGAGCAGAGGUUCACACUGGAAAACCAGAAGAAAAGAUAACCAUGAAAGAGCAAGUGAGCAAAGCCUAAAGUUGCUGGCAUUACAACACUGAAACCAAAAAGGAUUUUUGUUAUAUUUUGUUUAAUUUGAAAAUAAA